UACAGAGGUCUCAAGCGUUGUUCGGAUUCAUUGGGCGUAAAGGGUGCGUAGGUGGUGAUGCAAGUCUGGUGUGAAAUCUCGGAGCUUAACUCCGAAAUUGCACCGGAUACUGCGUUGCUCGAGGACUGUAGAGGAGAUCGGAAUUCACGGUGUAGCAGUGAAAUGCGUAGAUAUCGUGAGGAAGACCAGUUGCGAAGGCGGAUCUCUGGACAGUUCCUGACGCUGAGGCACGAAGGCCAGGGGAGCAAACGGG
rnacentral:rRNA from 1 species